rnacentral:lncRNA from 1 species
AAUUCUCUAACCAGAAUACUUAAUAACCUCCUGGUUUCCCCUACUAGCUAAGGGUGGAGCUUCCUUAGUGCCAAAGGGGGGCAUAUGCCCCCCUCCCUGUAAAAAUUGCUUAACGUGUCACACGUGGGAAUAGGUAUUUGACAUGUCACGUUACAUUUUUCCAUGAAAAUUCAAAAGAUAGUUGAAUUAAACCAAGAAUUGGAAGGGUAGGAGUGAAAGAUUUAAACUAGAAACUACAAGUAAGCGAAAAUAAUGCUUUUUGUAGCAAUGGUUAUAACAUUGUAAAUUAUAGUGAUCUAAUGCAUCCUUUCAUGCUCAACUCCAUAUUAUAUUUACAAAUAUCAAGAGUACUCAUUGCCAAACAUUUGCAUGGAACAUGCGGGAACCAUCAUGAAGGCUUUAGCUGCAAAGAUUGCACUCAUGGAUACAACAAAAGGGACAUGUGUGACAUCUGCUAAGGGACACAACCUAAUUAUAUGGUAAGUCAUCACUGAGCUUAACUAUUGUUCAAACACCGUGGUAAAGAAAUUAGAAUUUUCUGCAAAAGAGGACUAUGACCAACGGAAUAUGCCAUUUUCUGCAGAUUUGGAAAGGGGACUAUGACCAACUUAUAUAUGACCAACGAAAUAUCCCAUCCACACCCCAGCAAUAUGCCAUUUUGUUCAAUUUAAAAGGGGACUGAUAUCACUGAGCUUAUCCAGCCCACGGAAUAUGCCAUUUUGUUCAAACACCGCUGUAAAGAAAUUAGAAUUUUCCCCUGCAAGUAGAAGUGCACAAUUGUUACUUGUCACUAAAAACGCUAACUAUUGUUAAUGAAAAUGCAUAUUAUUUAUUGUACAAUAUUUUACAACAGCACUUCCAAAUCUGCACCUAACCAUAUAUCAAGUAUUGUUCCUAACAAACUACAUUACAGUAAAUUCCGCCACUCCAUUCUGAACCUAUAUCAAACUACAGUACAAUAAUUUCUGAACCUAUAUCAAACUACAGUACGGUAUUUUCUGAACCUAUAUCAAACUACAGUACAGUAUUUUCUGAACCUAUAUCAAACUACAGUACAGUAUUUUCUGAACCUAUAUCAAACUACAGUACAGUAUUUUUUGAACCUAUAUCAAACUACAGUACACAUUGAUCAUAACAGGAUAAUGCACAGGGGAGCACACAACGACAUCACACAUUGAUCAUAGGCCCAAGCAGGCAUAUUUACGUGGAUGAGGUUCAUGAGCACAUCAGACGAUAGACUACAGAGCACGAACAGGUAGACGUCAACAGAUUGCAAAGCUCGUUUACAUAUAAGCUAAAUGUGCUAUUAUUUCUAGUGAAAAACCAUGAUAUUCCAAUUCCUGUUUGUAAUGUUAAAUACUAAUUAAAGAACUGUGGGGCAGUGCUUCAAAACUUUAAAUUGCAAAAGCAAUAAACCUGGGAAGCAAAGCCUCCAGGACAUGCAUAGGAGGACAACUCACAUCAAAAAUAGAAUAUGACCUUUUAUGCUAGUCAACCAGAAGGCCAAUUGAAUAUACGUAAUUAAUUGCUAUCAAGAGAGCCAAAGCAACACAUGGAUUUCAUUUUUUUAUUGGAUGAAGCGCAUAAUGUAUACUGUAUAAACAAAUUCAAAGUUCAGUUAUGGUCAACCAUACCUUGAUACAAGUAGGUCUAAUAUUGCAAACUGUAACCGCGAUGUCGACAAAAUAAGCUGCACAUCGAGCACUGAAAUAUCAUCUGCACAUCAGAGACCUUGCAGGAUGCUCUAUCCAAUUUGUUGUGAGUCCAGAAUAUGCUCUUUCUUAAGAUUAAAAUCAUAUAGAUAAAAGAUGUACAAAACAACAGACAAUCAAAACCCAGUGCUAGAAGUAAGGCUCCUCAUAGUAAAAAAAAUCAUGUUGAGCAAAUCUUGACCUUUCAGGAUGCUCUAUCCAAGUUGAGAGAUAUUUUAAAGCAGUAAAUGGUGUUUGGAGUAGCACUUGACAAUGGCAUAGGAAUGCUCAUGUGUACAAAUUUCAUGGUAAUUAGAGAAAGUAGCAAAGCUCAGGUGCACAUGGGUCCACAACACCAUAUUGCAAAUCAACCAGAGUAAUAGACAUCAUUACUUUGGAUAACCUAUAGCCGAGUUACAUUGGAUACGGAUGCUACUGCAGUGAAAAUCUUAGUAUCACACCAUUGUUGACAAAAGAUAGGAGGGGCUACUACUGCGUCAUUAUAUUAUUUAUAAGCAAAAAUUUACAUGAGUAAUUCUAAACUCUUAGCUGCCCACAAUCUGAAUUGUCAACAGCCAUAUUCAAUUCCCUUUGAUAACCUAAAGACACCAUGCCCAAUGAGAAGAAGACAAAUGAGAUUAGAGUGCAAGUUACUGAAUCAUAUAUAGGAUAAACACCUCCUGAACCUGUUUUUUCUGAGUAGGGGCCCGCCUCACCUUGUCGUUGUAGCCUACAGGUUGGCGCUUGGGGGGGAGGGGGGGGGGCAUGGAGAGGCCAGGGAUGUGGUUCUCCUGUUGCAAGCGCCGAUUGGAGAUGCAGCAGGCCAAGGGGCUAGCAGCAUCUCACUUCUUCCUCGUCUUUUUUUGGUGGAGACCAAGCCUCUCCUUCUCCUAAGCGCCGUGUAACAGGGGGAGCACGCACCAACGAUCCUCGAGUGCAAUAAAGAAGGAAUGAGUUAGGCGAGAUAAGCAGGGGUGAGGGCGUUAUAUACUGCCAAUUUUUGGAGCAAAGAUAAGCCGAAACUAACAGCGUCAGAUCAACCAAACAUCCAAAACAUCUGAACCUGAGAUGACAACCCAGAGAUCCACAUUCCGUAUAUACUGCCAAUAGUAAAACUAUCCAUCAAACCCAAAUCAGUCACUUAUCAAGCAAAAACAAGCCAAGACUAACUGCAUCCGAUCACCAGAUGCCAUAACACCCAAUCCAACAGCUGCCACAAUAACAAAGAGAUCCCCACUCCGUAUAUUUCACUAAUAUACAAACAGUUGUUAUGUCCAGUUGACCGUUUCUAAAGCAAAGUUAAGUUGAAACUAAAAGCAUCAGACAACCAAAACACCCCAAAUUCCAUAACCUGAGAUCCCAUGGCACCCAGUCCAACAGUGAACCAUCUCAUGAACCUAAUUAAGUAGUGUAUAUAUGAACCUAAACAACAUGACAUAGCUGAACAACAACACGAAUAGCAGCUGCAUGCGGAUCCAAUUGAUAUAUAGUAAACAAAAGGCCCAGAAAAAAAUCACCUCCAGAGGACGUCUCCAAGGAGCAUCAAGUCGCCAUCCUUGUCUCCGUCCUGCUCACCGUCUCCACGAAACUCAUCUCCUUGUUCCCACACUUGCCUGGCUCUGAGAUUCAAAUCGUCAGAAGCCCACCAGAAGAGCAACGCAUCGCGUGCUCGUCUCUGCGGAGCAACGACGCGAUUAGCGGUCUACACAGUCUUCCCAACGGGGAGAGCAGCGGCGUCGGUGGCGGCGAUGGGUGAAAAAGGGAAGGAAAGGCGGUGGGAGCGCGACAAAUCUGAGGCGGCUCACCUCGGUUUGCCCUCUUCCCGGAGGAGCACGAACUUGAGGACACGCUCCGGUCCUCCUCCCGUUGAUGGCGAAGCAGGAGGACGGGCGGCAGCAGUUGGUGGUCGAUCUCCUCUUCCACCGCUACCCGUUGCCCCUCCACAACCCGAGGGCCGGUGGUGAGGAACGAGCACGACGGGGAGAGCGGCGGCGGUGGCAAGCUCGGCCCGACGCGGAGCAGUAGUGGCCGUGUUGCUUCUCGGAGGGCGGCGGCGCGAGGGAAGGCAACGAAGAGAAGGGGAGGGGGCGGCGGCGGCAACACGAGAGAGAGAUGCGAGGGAGAGACGCAGCCCUACCUGUCUCACCGAUUGGGGAGGGAGCAACCAAUGGUGAGAAGCCACUUGGC